GACGAACGCUGGCGGCGUGCUUAGCACAUGCAAGUCGAACGGAAAGGCCCUGCUUUUGUGGGGUGCUCGAGUGGCGAACGGGUGAGUAACACGUGAGUAACCUGCCCUUGACUUUGGGAUAACUUCAGGAAACUGGGGCUAAUACCGGAUAGGAGCUCCUGCUGCAUGGUGGGGGUUGGAAAGUUUCGGCGGUUGGGGAUGGACUCGCGGCUUAUCAGCUUGUUGGUGGGGUAGUGGCUUACCAAGGCUUUGACGGGUAGCCGGCCUGAGAGGGUGACCGGCCACAUUGGGACUGAGAUACGGCCCAGACUCCUACGGGAGGCAGCAAUGGGGAAUAUUGCACAAUGGGCGGAAGCCUGAUGCAGCAACGCCGCGUGCGGGAUGACGGCCUUCGGGUUGUAAACCGCUUUCGCCUGUGACGAAGCGUGAGUGACGGUAAUGGGUAAAGAAGCACCGGCUAACUACGUG
rnacentral:rRNA from 1 species